GUAAAAGGGGGGAGAGGGGCGGCGGGAAACGGUGGGGGGGAAACGGUAGCCGGAAGUGUUGGGCGUAAGGCGAGCGUAGGCGGUUUCUUAAGGCUGAGGUGAAAGCCCACGGCUGAACCGGGGAGGAUCAUUGGAAACGGGGAAACUUGAGGGCAGAAGAGGAAAGGGGAAUUCCAGGUGUAGCGGUGAAAUGCGCAGAGAUAUGGGGGAACACCAGUGGCGAAGGCGACUUUCUGGUCUGUAACUGACGCUGAUGUGCGAAAGCGUGGGGAUCAAACAGGUUUAGAUACCCCGGUAGUC
rnacentral:rRNA from 1 species